UGAGAUCGCGCUGCCGCUGUUAGCUGUCGCAUACCAACCACACAAAUUUGAGGCUUACAAGCUUCCAAACAUGAGUGCUCGAGAGUGGGCAGAGAAGAGGAAAAAGUUUUCGGAGGUGAGGGAGAAGUUGCACUCUCUGGAUGUAAGAUUUACUUUGGCCACUGGCACAAAUGCGCUUCACCUGGAAAGGAAAGAGGAUGAGAUUUAUUUAUAGAAUAGAUAGAAUAGAAUAAAUAUGCCAAAUGGAUGACGGACUAUUCGCAGGCUGCCCGAUGACCGAUCCUUUUUUUUUUUUUUUUUUUUUUUACACCUGAGGCAUAAGAAAAGGAUGUAUUAAAACAUGAAAGACCAUUAUCAAUGGGGGAGGGAAUUGUUGUUAUUUCAUAAAUGCUGUAUUGGUCAUUGGGGGCAAAUCUCUCCCCUCUUUCUUUUAUUUAUUCAUUUAUCUAUAUCCUAUAUAUGGCCAGAGAAAUAUAUUCUCUCUCUCUGAGGUACCAGGGUUAAGUAGAACCCAAAGUGUGGUCUCUGGUAAAGAGUGAUGCUGUAUGUAUAUACACAUGUAUAUUUUCGUUUUGUUUAUCCUAUGCCACAUGUUGCAAAGCACUGGUAAUAAGGAUAGUAGUUUUGAAUAACGGGGUGAGGGGUUGGUAGGGUUUCUUUGGGCAGGUCAUUACACACGACUCACGGACCAGUUGGGGUAGAAUUUUUUUUUCUUUCUUUUUUUAAUGUCUCUUUGGGAGAGCAAGGGGUUAGGAGUUAAGGUGUUUGCAUGAUGCUUUUUUGGUUUGCUUGGUUCUGUCAUAUGUGUUAAAUAUGGGGCACAACCCAUAUCUUUGUUCUAUUUUUGUUUGGUGAGGAUGGCAGUUGGACAACAACCUAAAUGGUCAGUAUUAAGUGAUGCGAUUGUUUGUGUAAUGUGUAGAUUGUGUAGACAUGUUGGAGUACAAAGGGGCUUAAGCUAUGGUUAAUCUGGUACGGUAUAUUAACUGGAAUAUAAAUUAAUCACAUAACCUCGCUAAAAGGAAAAAAUGCCUGUCAUAUCUUCGGUCUCAACAAGCGGACGUGGCCCUGCUACAGGAGACACAUCUGGUGGAUACAGAAAUAAAUAAAUUUAGGACAAGGUCUUUGGGACAGGUAUAUUAUAGCUUUUUUAAUGGCAAGAAAGGUGGGGUUGCAAUACUUGUACAUAAAAUUUUAAAUUUUGUCAUGUUGAAACAACAUAAGGACAAUGAAGGGAGGAUAAUAUGGGUCAAGGCUAAAAUAAAUGGUGUGAAGAUUAAUAUAUGUAAUAUAUAUGCCCCAAAUAAGGAAGAGCCGGACUUUUUUUAUAUGGUUAAUAAAAUGAUGGGGGAAAUAGACGAUGGUCACACUGUAAUUUCUGGUGAUUAUAACCAGGUACAAGAAAUAGUGUGCUGAGAGAUAGAAGAGCUAUAUAAUGAUUUGGGCUUGGUUGAUACUUGGAGGUUAGUACACCCCAGAGAUGGAGAAUACACGUUUUAUUCAAAUAUACAUAAAAAUCACAGUCGCUUAGAUUAUUUUCUGGUAUCCAAAGACCUAGUAGAAGGAAUGGUAGACUGUACAAUUGGGCCUAUUGCAUUAACGGACCAUGCUACUGUGCAGUGGGGGGUAAAAUUAGUAAGUUUAAUAGAUGGAGGAGGAAUGUGUCAUUGCUUCAGGAUGAAACCUUUGCCAGUGUAUUAGGGGAAGAUCUUAGAAUAUUUUUUGACAUUAAUAUAGAUUCAACUGAGAGAUUAGGUUCAGUGUGGGAGGCUUCCAAGGCAUUGGAAGAGGCAAAAUAAUAGCUCAUUUGAGUAAGAAGAAAAAAGACAGUAAAAAACAAAUGUUGGGAUUAGAAUCCCAGUUGAAGGAUGCAAAAAAAGAACUGGUGUGUAAUCAUAGUGAUGACCCGUCUGAGAAAAGUAUGUGAAUUAAAAUUCCAGUUAAACGAAUUAUACAAUAAAAAUGUAGAAUAUGCUAUGUUUAGAAUGAAAAGUAACUUCUACGAAAGUGGGGAAAAGGCCAAUAAACUAUUGGCUAGAAAUUUAAAAAACAAGAUGCUAGCUUUAUAAUACCAGCGAUUAAAAAUACAAACGGGGAACUGGUAACAGGUGCAAAGGACAUCAAUGAAGUGUUUAACAACUUUUAUGUAAAGCUUUAUGAAUCAGAAGUAGAUCCAUCAGAAGAACAAUUUGAAGCCUUCUUCGCUAAUAAAUAUCCCAAAACUGUCAGAAGGGCAAGUAGCACAGAUGGAGGGAGUUAUUACUGAAGGAGAAGUUAGAAAUGCACUAUCAUCACUUAAAAUAGGAAAGUCACCAGGGCUAGAUGGGCUGCCAGUAGAGUAUUAUAAGAACGUGAGCACGUGAGCAAGCCGUGAUGCAGACACGCCCACCACAGCGUUCUCGCUGGACGGAGAAAAAACAUAUGACAGAGUGGAACUGGCUUACCCUUUUUAUACUUUGAGGGUGUUUAGAUUUGGAGAGGGUUUCACAAAAUAAAUAUAGAUUAUUUACCUGUCCCCUAAAGCAUCUGUUUUAACUAAUGGUCUGAAAUCUCCUUUUUUUGGUCUCCCGAGGGGCUAGAAACAGGGGGACCCAUUAAGUCUGCUACUCUUUACCAUAUUUCUAGAACCAUUAGCUAUAGUUCUAAGAGCAGAUACAGGCAUUAAAGGGGUGUGGGAUAGUGGGACGGAACAUAAGCUGUUUUUAUAUGUGGAUGAUGUUUUGCUGCUUAUUUCAGACCCAGCAAGUUCUGUUCUCAUAAUCCUUAAUAAGAUCGAAACAUUCUCUCGAAUAUCUGGAUAUAAAAUUAACUGGCAGUAAUCUGAGGUGAUGCCUAUAUCUGGGUUUUGCUAUCAGUCAGAGAUCUCUAACUUUCAAUUUAGAUGGGUCCUGGUAGGAAUGAAAUAGCUAGGAAUAAAGUUAACUGCUGAUUUGUCUCAUAAAAUAGAAAUGAAUCUAAUGCCAGUACUUCAAAAGAUGAAAAGUAAUUUGGAAAGAUGGAAGAUAAUUAAUCUCCCUUUGUGGGGCAAAAUUAAUACUAUUAAGAUGGUGAUAGCACCACAAUUAACUAUAUAUCAAUGAUGCUUCCAGUAAUCAUUCCUAGUGGCAUAUACAAACAAUAUAAUCAAAUGGUUAAAGACUAUUUGUGGAAUGGAAAAAAGCCUAGGAUUAAUAUUAAAAAGUUAUGUACUGCUAGGGAAAAGGGGGGCUUGGCCCUUCCAAAUGCAGAGGUACAGUAUAUAAUUUGGCUUUUGAAUUUGCUAAACUGGUGAGGGAUUGGAUGAAUUAUGAUUCUCAACCGGAUUGGGUUAAGAUAGAAAUGGCCAUGGUGGCUCCCUCCAGACCAAUACAGGCUCUCUCUCUCAGAUUAAGGUGGUAGAGGGGGGAAAAAUCCCAUACUGAAGCAUUCUCAAUGGGUCUUAUCGGAGGUGCAUAGGUUGAUAUAGGGAAGUCACAAUACAAACAAGGGUAUUCUUCCAUAUGGAAUAAUCCAUGUAUCGUGAUAGGUAAACAAUCAGUUUGCUGGGAUCCUUGGCAGAGGAACAGUACAUGUGUGAUUGAUGAUCUGUAUAAGGGUGCAGUUUUUAAGUCAUAUCAGGAACUGGUGGAUCAAUUUCUCCUGGAGGGAAGGGGUAAAUUUUGGAAAUAUCUACAACUAUGUAACUAGUAUGUGGAGUGUGAUUCCACUUAACAGAAAUAUAGAAGAACCUAACAUGUUACAAAAUCUUUUUGAUUUGCCAAGUGUGUGCAAUGCAUAGUGCCUCAAUAUUUUACAAAAAUAUUGUGGAACUACAAAGUGUGAACACUGAGAAUCUUAGGUCAAUAAGGCAAAGAUAUUUAGAAUGUGAAAUAAAUAAGGAGAAAUGGUAUAAUAUAGUUUCCAAGGUUGGGUGGGCCACUAGGGACAUUAGAAGCAAAUUUACCCAUUACAAAAAUCAUACAUAGACAUUAAUAUACUCCUAUGAAGCUUUUCAGAAUGGGUUUAGUAGAAGACAAAAUGUGUUGUAAAUGUAAGGGAGAAGAUGAUACAUUUUUACAUGCCUUUUGGGAAUGUCCAGUGGUAUUACCUUUUUGGAAAAAUAUAUUAAGGAAACUGGGAGAUUGGUUGGGACAAAGUUUACUGAAAUCUCCACUGUUUUGUCUUCUGGGAGAUAGCACACUUUUGCCACAAGGAGUCAACAAAGGACAGUAUGCGCUAAUAAUCAGAGGCCUCAUUACGGCAACAAGGCUGAUAUUGAGGAAUUGGAAGAGCGCGUGUACGCCAGGGAUUGCAGAUUGGACUCAACUGAUGACAGAGACUGCAUACUUCGAAUAUCUGAUUGCCAGGAAGGACAAUGUUAAAGGGAAGUUUCAUUUAGUAUGGGCCUUUUUUUUUUUUUUUUUUUUUUUUCGAUAUAAUAGGGACUUGUCACACUAAGUAUAUGUU